rnacentral:rRNA from 1 species
CCUGGCGGCACUAGCGCGGUGGUCCCACCUGACCCCAUGUCGAACUCAGAAGUGAAACGCCGUAGCGCCNAACCGGUACUAAUGAACCGUGAGGC